GUGCUCACUUUGGCAGCACGUAUACUAAAACUGGACCAGUACAGAGAGGAUUAGCACGCCUCUGCACAAGGAUGACACACGGAUUUGUGAAGACUUCCACAUUUUU
ensembl:snRNA U6 U6 spliceosomal RNA